UACGUAGGGUGCAAGCGUUUGUCCGGAAUUAUUGGGCGUAAAGAGCUCGUAGGCGGUUUGUUGCGUCGGCUGUGAAAUCCCGAGGCUCAACCUCGGGUCUGCAGUCGAUACGAGCAAACUAGAGUGUUGCAGGGGAGACUGGAAUUCCUGGUGUAGCGGUGAAAUGACGCAGAUAUCAGGAGGAACACCGGUGGCGAAGGCGGGUCUCUGGGCAACAACUGACGCUGGAGGAGCGAAAGCGUGGGGAGCGAACAGG
rnacentral:rRNA from 1 species